rnacentral:lncRNA from 1 species
CUAUGUCAUUUAAUACCAUAUUUUCCUAAGUCAUUUAAAUUAUGUUCAUGUUUUCCUAGGUCAUCUAAUUAUGAUCCUUUGACAGAAUCUAGGUGUUUUAGUUUAUAAAUAUUUCAUUUGUAAUGUAACACACUUCGAUUAUUGAAUGAAUUUCAUUGCCUUUGGUAGAACUUUGACAAGUGAAAAUUCUUAUUCUUCUUGUUGCAUCAAGAAUUGAAUUAACUUAUCAAGUUAUCUU